AUCUGUGAGAACAAAGAAGUAUCUGAAGGGGUCAUUAAUUCAUGCCAGUAUUCUUUUUUUUUUUUUACCAUGCCCUCUAAGCUAAUAUAUGGGUUGACUCCAUGAAGGAAGAAAAAAAUGUUAUAAAGACAAAGGUUAGGAGAAAGAUACUAUUUUGGCAUUAAAACAGAUUCUUCUCCCCUGUCUAUCCCUCUCCUUGCUCCCAGUUUACAUGAGGAAUCUUUGAUAAGAUUUGUCUGUCAUCCUUUGCCCAUGCAGCAACUAGGACUAGAUUUCCUAUUAAGUUUCCCCCCCUUAAGUUGUGACGAAGAGGGCAGAUACUGGAUGUAUCUUUAUUUGGAGCACAGGACAAUGAGAUGAAGUUGGCAGUUCUCUCUCUUCUGUCUUCUCAGUGAUAUUUUUGGGUACGUCCUCAGGCGGGACCUUCCUCGUCUUUUCUUAGCUUGUGUACUUAUUAAGACUAUCUUUAGAAAGUUUCAUGGAACAUAGUGGUGACAUUAUUUGUGUGUGUGUGUGUGUGUGUGUGAUUGGCAGAGCCAGAUUUAGGUUUGAUGAGGCCCUAAGCUACGGAAGGUAAUGGGGCCCUUUAUAUGUCCAACUGUCCUUUGUCAACAACAAAUGGUUGCUGUUUUUUGUGUUGAAUAUAUGCUAUAUGGUAAUUUAUGGACCUAAUAGGUAUCUAAAGCCAUUUGCAUGUGUUGCCAUGCAACCAGUCCAUGCAGAAUGUAGGCACCCUAUAUAUAGAAAUGAGCAAACCAGUGAUAUUUUAGGGAGCAGGCUAGCAGGCGGGGCCCAUGACUUACCGUAUUUUUUGCACCAUAACACUCACUUUUUUCCUCCUAAAAAGUAAGGGGAAAUGUCUGUGCGUGUUAUGGAGGGAAUGCCUACGGGUGGCAUGCCUACGGAUUUUCCUCCUCUAAAGACUACGUGCGUGUUAUGGUCGGGUGCGUGUUAUAGAGCGAAAAAUACGGUACAUCAUAGGAGCCUACACAACACAAAACACUGUUACUGUAUGUAGGUUUUGUUUUAUUUGUUUCUUAUCUUGUAUUUUGGAAAUGUACAUCCAGUUUUUUCCCCUUUAAUUUUUUGGGGGGCCCCCAAGAGAGUGGGGCCCUAAGCUAUAGCUUGUUCAGCUUAUAUGUAAAUCCGGCACUGGUGAUGGGGGCUGUUUUCAGAUAUCACAUAUGUGAGGGAUUCACCAACGUUUUCUAUGAGAGUGAGUGUCACAAGAUGUUCUCCCUUCAAUUUGUGGCCACAGAAUACACCCGAAGCCAUGACUGCAGAUUGCUGACAUGGAGGAAUGAUGGUGUAAUGCAGAUAUCUCCUCUUAAUACAGUAUAGCAGCUGGAGGCAAGAGAGAGCAAUCAAAUAUCUCUAAUCACUUAUAUACCAGUCACUAAGCAUCUGUGUAUUAUUGGGAGCAGCCAAGGAGACAUACGUCCUGGGCAAAUGGGGGACUCCUGGUCAAUAAAGUUUUCUGCUUCCACUGAGGACAGUAAUCUGCCCUUGCUGGAGUACUAAGCCAAACAAGGCAUGGGUGGAGACUGAACACUUCUCUCCUGGAUUGAUUGAUUGAUUGAUUGAUUAUUUUAUUUUUAUUUUUUAUAUCCCACCUUUUUCUCCAAGGAGUUCAAGGUGGCAUGCAUGACUUUCCCCGCUCUCCGUAUCAUUUCCGGGACAACUCAGUGAAAGAUGGUGGCUGGCCCAAGGUCACGCAGAGAGCUUGAUGGCUGAUUUGAACCCUGGUCUCCCAAGUCCUAGUCCAACUCCCUAAUCAUUACACCACACUGGCUCUCUUGGUUGCUAGAGAAAGGGACUGUGGAGGCAUAGACAGAUUUGAUGAUGAUGAUUAUAAAUUUCAUUUCUGUAUCAAUUAUAUGUGAUUUCUUGUCAAGUGUAGUGUGUGAAAGGAGAACCCAUGGGCCAAAAUGUUGUUUGAAUUGGUAGCUGUAUGAAUACUAGAUUGUAAAAUGUGAUUUCAAUAUUAAUUCAACAUAAUGUCAAUAAUAAAGAUCUCUCACUCCCCAAAAUAGGUCUUUCAGCAAAUUAUCAAAGUCUGCUUUUAAGACUGCAUCAACCCAGAGCCAUUUGGGGAAAAAGAAUCCUCCGUUUUCUUUUAUUGAGCUGUAAUACUUUUAUGGUGUUAGUGUUAGUUGAUUUGGUGUGUUGUUUGGACAGGAAAUGGCGGCUAAAUUAUAUAAACAUAUAAAAGGAAUAAGAGGUGGUGCUUUUGCUUAAGGAACAUGUGGCAUACCACGUGACUAAAGAAUAAAGAAUCGGUGAACAAACCAACCAAGAAUAAUUGGCCUGAGACUUGGGAUGCUGUGAAACAUAGCUGGAUAUUAUAGAGACCGGCGGCAGUUGGGGCAUGGAGGUUUGAACUGUGUUAUUGUAAAAAUGUGAAAACUGUAGUCGUAGUAGUGGGGGUUGCAUUUAGAAUUCAAAAACUCCCUUUGGGAUGAUGUGCACUUGCAGAAAAUCAGGUUAUAUUUGUUGGUCUGGAAGAAAAACAGAUGAAAUCAGGGGAACUUGUGUACCUGCCUGGCAUAUUUUGAAAAACAAUAAUUUAACAAACUUCAUAUUUUUAAAAACAAAUAACAUUCCAAAACAAUAUAUACAUCACAAACACAUCCAAACAAUGUAACCACACAUCACAGUGCAUGAGACCAUCAAAUCCCAGGUGCAAGUGAGGAGAAGGAUUUUUGUUAUUAUAUUUUUGCAUUUCUCUUAACAUUCAGUCAUCCUGGGAACUAUGAGCAGGAUUCAACUAAUGAUCCCCACUACCAGAAGCCUGCACAAUAAUUUUUGCUAGCGCACUUGGGUUCCCCCGCCUCACCCCUGCUGUUCCCCCAACUGGCUCAGGGAGGGGGUGUCAGGAGAAUAGCACACAGUGGAAGGAGAGGAGAGAUUGUUCCAUCGGGCAAGCAGAGUUCUUCCCUAUCCUUACAAGUUUCACCUCCCGAUGCUGGCAUACUGUUUACAAAUCCAAACGAACGUUUUAUGAGUUCCAUAUCUGUGUAUACACCUGGCUGGAGCGUAAGUUUCACCAUCUUCCCAAUUUACAAAAGAAAUAAAACCACUCCAAGUUGUUAGGAAUGAAUCUGUUGCCUUUGGGGUUUGUGGUGCCUUGUGGUAGCAUGCUAGCUUCUCUCCCAAGGCAUCUUUAAUGAUCUGAAGGGACAACCAGAGGACCCACAUUAUUCACAUAUCUGUAGAAAAAUGUAUGCUUGUACCUAUAGUGCAUGGCUGGUAAAGGGCAGCAAUAUACAUAUAGGUGAGACAUCAGUGGCUUUCUUUUAAAGGCUCCAGUCACAGAGGAAGUGUGUCGGGCUGUCCUUCAAAACAAUUGAUUUCUUCCAAGAUGCUCUUCUCAAAACAAACAUUGGAUGGAAAUUGAAGGCUUAGCAAUUUUGUAAUGCAUUUUUACAUAAUGGCAACAGCAGUCGUAGUUCUCACAUUUAAGCCCUAUGUGGAAAGACAAGGCUUAUCUCAGGGCUUGACUACUGUAUUUGACUGCUUUGAUUGUUUUAUAACAAGAGAUAAGAGACUUCUUGGUCUUAAUUCAAUAGCAAGGAGGAGGAAUUGUUAGCAGCGCUACUAACAUGACCUUGUGCACAUUUCAAACCUUUGAAACAUCUUUCUAUUAUAAAUAGGCCUAUUGGAGUGGAUGGGAGUUAACCAUAGAAAUAGACAUUAACUUCAGCCCUGAAGGUCAGCUAUUUGUCUGCUUGCAUAAAACUGCUGAACUGGUGCUUAAAUAUGAAUAGGAGAAUACAUGUUCAGGUUUUUGCCACAAGUGACUGCACUUGCUGGGGAGAGUGAUGCUGUUAGAUAAGGAGUAGCCAACAUGCUGCACUUCGGGUGUUGUUGCGCAACAGUGCGACACUAGCAUGGCUAGUGGUCAGGGAUGAUUGGAAUUGUAGUCCAGCAAUAUCUGGAGAGCAUCCUGUUGGCUGUGCCUGUGUUGAACAUUUAUCUCCAGAGCUUUCCUGACAUGGAUCCAUCUGCCUUGCAGAAUCAGUUUUGAUCAGCUAUGUUGUCUGACUUCUUUCUUUGGCGAUCACUCAUAGCCGAGUAAGAUUGUCUUCCAUAAACAUGGUUUUAACAGUGAGUCUGUAAGUGACUGUGGAGGCCAAUUCUGGAUCCACACGUCCUUCCAAAGUGGGGACAUUGGUGUAUGAGCAGGAGUUGAUCACGGUGUGGAUUUGCCAAGCAUGCCUUCCUCCUAGCACGUUUCUCCCUUGCAUCCUGAGUUUGAGUGUCUUCAAAGCCCAUGGCACCUUUGGUAAAGGCUGUUCUCCAAUUGGAGCGCUCACAGGCAAGUGUUUCCCAAUUGUUGGUGUUUAUACUACAUUUUUAAAGAUUUACCUUGAGACAGUCUUUGAACCUCUUUUGUUGCCCACCAGCGUUACGCUUUCCAUUUUAAAAUUCAGAAUAGAGUAGUUGCUUUGGAAGAUGAUCAUCAGGCAUCCACACAACAUGACCAGUCCAACAAAGUUGAUGUUGAAGAAUCAUUGCUUCAACACUGGUGAUCUUUGCAUCUUCCAGUACACUGGUUUCUGUAUGGGGCAAGUGAAUGGUGUUCUUGGGAGGACUGAGGCGAAUAGAUUUUCCUCAGUGUUUCUAGGACCUGUUUCAUGCCCCUUCCCCUCUCUUCCCUUUAUUCUUAUUAGCUCACUGCAGUAAAAUAUACCCACUUGCCCAGUAAGAUGUAAAGUGGUAAUAAAGGUGGAGGUACCUUUGAGAAGGGAUACUUGAGAGGGUGUUCAUUGCUCAGAGAGAGGCCUGGCUGGGUUGAGCUUAAAGGUUGUUUGUUGGAGAAAGGUCAGCAAGGAACUUGUAAAUGUUCAGUGAUUCGUUCAAAUAGACCUGUUAGCUUUCUCUGUCUGUGAGGAGGUUGAGGCCACAUGCACCGAUGGAGCACAUCUCUAAAGCCAGCCGCAUCUCCAGAGCACAGGCUCAACCUCAGCUACAAAUACAUAGAUGCUGACACAAAUACAAAGGUAAGGCUGCAAGUUCAAGUAAACAUUUUCAGAAUCAUAGAUUUGGAAAGGGACCGCAACGGUCAUCUAGUCCAACCCCCCUGCAAAUACAAGUUAUAGUUAAGGGUGUCAUACUUUCAUUUUUUUAUUUAUUGAAUCCUGCCAAAUAGCCCAGGGUGGCAGAUAAAGAAUCUGAAACAAUUAGGUAAAGAAAUCUUGGAUUCCUGACCCUAUACCUCUACAAUUUUAUGAUUCUGUGUUGUGGUUCCUGUGUUGCAGGGAAUUGGACUAAAUGACCCUUGGGAUCCCUUCCAACUAUGCGAUUCUAUGAUUCUGUCUUCAAGUUAUGGGGCUGUUAUGCAUGCAACCACAUAGAUGUCAAAUUGGGAGCUGAAAAGUGGAGGCUAGGGAUUCAAAGAUGUAAUCCUGACUUCAGUGCAUGAGAUGCUAGCAGAACAUGUCAAAUAAUCUAUUGCACCUGGAGGAAAAAGGAGGAGUUACUGGUAUUCAUUGAGGAAUGAUUAAGGGCCACACUUGAAUGAAUCAAGCACUUCGCCCAGUCUGUAAUAUAAAAAUAGCAAUGAAGUUAAUACUUAGCUCUGUCAGCUGAAUAACGUUUUUAAAGUCUAUGAACAUCCUUGCAUUUAAUGGAUUAAUUAACCAAUUAAAUAUUAUAUGAUCUCAACAAAGAUUAAUUCUGGGAUAUGAAUUGUGCUUUUACCUUGGCUGUACAACUAGGGGAAAGCGCUUAUUAUUUGGGAAUCUUAGAAGUCACUUUUACCAAUGUGGAGAAGCACUAGGGAACAACCAUUUUUACAACUUGAAAGGUGUUGAUGGGGCUACUAUUUGGAGAAAGGAGACACACACUUCAUUCCGUAAGACAAAUGUAACAGCAUGUGCUGUGCCCAGUGUCUGAAUCUAAAGGGCUCAUACCACUUAGACUGACCUUCUGUAUUUUUAUAUUUCCAAUAAAUAUAUUAAUUGCAACAAUUAAGCACUGCUUUCAGCCUUCAUGGCGAUAACCUUCCUUCCUUUUUUUGUCAAGGUAACUACUUUAUUCUGUCAGCCUAUCUGCUUGAUCUACCUAAUUAGUCAACGACACGUAUGUGGCUGUUAUUAACUAAAGUGUCUAAAUGCCUUAAAUCUUUAAUGCUGUUCUCAUCAAAGGUUCUUUUGAGGUAGGACGGUAUUGCCUUCUGCAUUCUAACUAACUGAACUCAGAAGAAUUUAUUUAGUCGCCUAAGGCCACAUAUGAAGGGUGUGACCAAUUUUCCUCGGGAGCAUUUUGGUCUUAGAGCGUAUACCAACUCUUUGGACUUCCAGGUGCCGCAGGCCUACAAAUACCACCACCCCUUAUCCUUGGCUAGGCUGGUGAGGGCUGAUGGAAACCAGCAACACCCAAAGGGUUACAGGUUCCUUAGCCCUGGCCUAUAGAGACUACGAAGCUUCCACCCUCAGCAUCUUGGUAGCCUCUGUCAAGCUAAGAACAUAAGAAAAGCCAAUGGCCCUUCGAGUUCAGCAUCAAGUUCUCAAGGUGGUUGAGCAGAUGGCUGUGGGCAGUGCUAAAAAAAAAUAUGUUUAGAGGUACUGUCUUUUUGACUCAAGAAAGUCACCAUUUUAUAGUUCAAAUAGGGGGGAAAUAAAUACAGUAAAUGGACAAAAGUACAAAGAACAUGCAUUAUGUCAUGUUAUACAGCUGCUUCACACAUUAAACGCUCACUUCUGUCUGAGACUCUGGAAACACUGUGAAAGGAAAUGAGGCCGCUAUUGGGGGUAGCAACGGAACUGGAGAUUCACAGUGAUAGAGAAGAAACUUGUUUUUUAAUUUUUUAAAAUAGUUUCUUCUUCUGUUAGAUUCACAAAAUGUUUAAGGGUUUGUGUACCCCUGUGCCCCCCCAGAAAAAAAAGCACUGGCUAUGGGAAGCCUGAAGAAAGACAGGAUCUAAGUACAACAGCCUCUUUCCACUUGUGAUUCCCAGAAAUUGGGAAUUCUACCAAUUGGAUGGAGGGGUUUUACUACAUAUUAGAAGUAGAUGGAUGGACCAUGCUUGGUAAAAUGACCACUUGCGCUCAGCCUUUUUGUUGCUGUUUCCUUUUUGUUUGUUUGUUUAAUCUUUAGCAGACUGUAAUCCUUUAGGAUUACCAACCCCCUCUGGACUGGCCCUGCUCUGAAGCUUUUAAAUAGCAGCCUGGUGCACAUAAUUUUUUUAAGGCAAAGGGGAAAGUCCAGUAAGAAGUUAGUAUCCAUCAUUUCCUCUAAGUAUGUGUAAACUGUGAGAUGUUCAGGAUUUGGUUUGGACACCGUCAUACUUCUUGUCAGUUCUAAAUGAUGGAUUGUAGAAACUUUUAGCAACCAGGAUUUGUCAGUAUGGCCAAAAUAAUUUGGGUUUUGCUUAGUGGUGGGGAAAUGGAGUUGAGUGUUCUGUUCUAAAAUACAGUAUACUUAUUUAGAAGUGCAUUCUGUCUAGAGUUGCUGUUCCACUCCUUCAGUGGCUUUUGAUCCAGUCAAAGUCUUCAUGAAUGCAAGAGUAAGAAAGACAUUUUUUGUUGAUUCCCCUUUCCUGCUGCAAGCAUCCUCCAGAGCAGUGUGGAAACAGAAUAAGAAUAAAUGGCUCUGUCCCUGUUGGCUGUCCCUGUUAAUAGAGGUGUCUGCUGUGGGCAAGUGGGGAACCAUUCACAAACAGAAUGGCAGCAUUGAGCCCCCCUCAUUGAUUUAAAUGGAAGUUGUUAAAUCAUGUAGGUUUCUAGCUGCACAUUCCAAUCUUAAAUAUAUGGACUCAUGUCUGUUCUGCUGUUGCUGCAACUGUCCAUGUCAUAGCAGUAGAAAGGUUGAAGGUGCUUCCGGACUGCAGCUGGUUUCAGUGCUUGGCUUAUUUGUCUUUCAAAAAAUGGACAACCCAAUCUCUAAAUCCUGCAAAUGGUUUCAUUCUAGUUUAGUUCCAAUACGUUUAGUGGGAACAUGCGGGCUUAAUGAUUCUGGCUUUCCUGUCCCAAUGAUAAAAAUCCAAAUGUUAGAAAGAUUUAACACCUUUUGUAAGUCUGGGGAAAUGAAACCAAACCAUAGGCAGUUGGAUCUUCUCUUCCGUGACUAUUUCACAUAUUUUUGAUACUAGAAUCCCUUGUGUCCUUUCAGUUUAAGCCUCGGUAAAAGUGUUUCUUUUUAACCAAACUUCUCCCUUAAACCUUUUAGUGUUUUCUCAUCCUAUGGGCAAAAAUGUCAUACUGGUUUUUAAAUCUGUGGCCUUAUUAGAAAAAUAAGUAUGCACGCCUUGCAGUGUAGUCCUGUAAUGUUUACUCUGAUGUAAGUCCCAUGUAGCGGGCAUACUCCCAGGUAAGCAUGUUUUGGAUUGGAGCCUUAACAAAUUAUAGUGGGAGGAGCAACUAUUUAAGCUCAUUGCCCCCUUGAUAAGUUUGGUAAGUAAGCAUAGACUUACAAUUUCUGCUGUAACUUAAUACAGAUGAAAUACAGUGGUGCCCUGCAAGACGAAUGCCUCGCAAGACGAAAAACUCGCUAGACGAAAGAGUUUUCCGUUUUUUGAGUCGUUCCGCAAGAUGAAUUUCCCUAUGGGCUUGCUUCGCAAGACGAAACGUCUUGCGAGUUCUUGCGUGUUGGUUUCCUUUUUCUUAAAGCCGCUAAGCCGUUAAUAGCCGCUAAGCCUCUAAUAGCCGUGCUUCGCAAGACGAAAAAACCGCAAGAUGAAGAGACUCGCGGAACGGAAUAAUUUCGUCUUGCGAGGCACCACUGUAUAGCAUAAGCCUUUACAUGUCUAUUCAGACAUAAGUCCCACUAAAUUCAGAGGUGCUUACACCCAGGCAGUGGCGUAGCGUGGGGGGUACAGGGGGGGCCGGGCGCACCGGGCGCAACAUCUGGGGGUUAGGGUUAGGGGGCGCAAAUCCAUGGGUUAGGGGGCGCAAAUUACUUGCCUUGCCCCAGGUGCCCCGGGUGCUGACAACCCGCACUACGCCACUGCACCCAGGCAUAGGAUUGCUGCCUCAGUAUGUGGGUACAGGAUUGCAGCCCUAAUAAUUGAGCUGUGAGUGUCAAGUGCCACAAAAGAAAAGAAAAAACCAACAGAGGUUUCACUUGCCUAUGCAAAGGUAGCAAGUGAGCUUGGUAGCAGCACUAUUACAAUAGCCAAAAUGUUAAAUAAUAAUAAAAACUUAAUAGAAUCUUAUUUGCAUCAGAACUCUUGGGCCAUAUAAAUACACUGAAAGAAGACAGCUCUGAAAUAAUUGAAGGUGUAAAAUAAUUGUCCUCAUUUUGGGGACUAAAGCCUAUCACUGUGUUACAUCUCUGAUGCAUAUUGAAACCUGCUAGAUACUAAUCUUAUAAAGAUGUGACUGGAAUUGAUUUUUCAAUGCAGUGCUUUUCCUUCAACAGCAGAAUCCCUAUGGAAAAAUACCUGCCAGAGUGGAAAAUGCCCAGUAGGACUGGGCGAUGUAUCACUUCAUCGUCCAAAAUCAGUUUGAAGUCUACAUUUUGAUAACAGUUUCAUAAUGUUUGACAUUAUUGAUAUAUCUUGAAUCACAUUGUGUGUGUGUGUGUGUGUGUGUGUGUGUGAUGUAAAAAACAGUGAUAUGGGAAAAACUGUGAAGCCGGUCAUGACUUCUCUCAUGAUACCUGCUGCCCUUGUUGAUCUAGACCCCUAAGUAGUAGCAGUUGCUAGGUAGGACAUUACCCCAUUUGCCUCUACAUAGUUACAUCCUUAUUUCAGACAUCAUGAUAUAUCAGUAUAUCGUGAUAUUUAGCUGAUUAUAUAUCAUGAUGUUGAAAACCAGAUAUUGCCCAGCCCUAAUGCCCAGUUAGCAUUUAAAACCAUAUCAAUAUCUUUUGCAUUCUGCUUUUCCACAACUAUGCUCAAAGCGGCUCUUGAAAAUUUCCUUCUCUUGUGUAGGAAUUUAACAUAUAAAGUGAGCAUUACAUGUGAAAGAAAGCCAUGUGGAUUUAGAAGGCAAGAGCUAUAACUAGAUAGAUUUAGAAGGAAAGAGAGUCUUCCCCUCUUGGGUUUUGCCUGCAAAUGUACCUGAAUUUUGGAUUCAGGUUUUAAUGGGUAUUCCUACAUAGGUGAUUAUGACCCAGUGGGUCAUUCCUGUUCUGCAAAAUUAGACUCAUUACUAUUGCUAUGAGCUGUGACUCUUUUUGACCAGGUAGUGGCUUGGAAAAGGGAAUUUUUUCAAGAGCAGUUCUUAAGAUAAGCAGGGUGGGGGGAAUCAGUCAUGCUGUUCUACUUUCAAGACUAACAAAGCCAUCUUCUUGUCAGGUGACAAUAUUUUUAGAUGUUUGAUGUAGUUCUCAAAAGGUGGGUGGAAUUGUCAGGCUGCUUUUAAAAGUGAACGGUGCAUGCCUUUCAGAUACAGAGAGACAGAAUUUACAAAUGUUGCAUGAUAAUGUCGUGCGCAUUAGUCCUGGUUACCUUGGUGAUUGCCACUUAAAUGAUGAGAGACUCGACUUAACAGUCUCUGUGACUAGGAUGGGGAUGGGGAGCAGGGAGAAUCCUCCAAACAAUUUGAAGAAAAAUGCAUUUGUUGUGUUAGGGUGGCUAAGUGAGAUUGGGUUAAUGUCCAGGUAAUACAGCUGUAUCUUCAGUGCGGGUGGCGUAGAAGCCAGAGAGCAUGGAAAGGAAUAUCUAGGAAGAUUGUCCCUAUUUGACAUUUUAAGCAGUUAAUCCUUCAAAACUGUUGUGUCCCAAACUACUACUACUACUACUACUACUUCUUUUUCUUCUUCUUCGUCUUCUUCUCACUGAUUUUUCAAUCGCCUUCUAAAACACUGUCUCAAUGCAUUUUAUACAGGGCCUGUCUGGAGAUGCUGAGGAUUGAACCUGAGACCUUCUGCAUGCAGAGCAGCAGCUCUACCACUGAGCUACUUCAAUGCAUUUUUUUGGGGGGGUGGACUAGAUGUCCCUUGAGUGUCCCUUCCAGGUCUACAAUUCUAUGAUUCCCCUAGGUUGUGGCCUUUCUCCUAAAGAUUGAAGUUGCAAACCAGCCCUUAUAAUCUCACUAUCAGAAUGCUCAGCUUCGGAGUGUUCCUUUUUUAAUCUGGUAAGUGCAGGUCACGUCCACACUGUACAUUUAAAGCACAGUGAUACUGCUUUAAGCAAUUAUGGCUUCCACCUAAGGAUUUGGGAGAAGAACCAUAGCUCAGUGGUAGAGUUUCUGCCUUGCAUGCAGAAGACCCCAGGUUCUGUGUCCAGGGCAGCUGUCUACCAGCUCCAUCUGGUACGUAGGCUGAGACCCUACCUGCCCAUGGACCUGUCUCGCCAGAGUGGUGCAUGCUCUAGUUAUCUCCCGCUUGGACUGCUGCAACGUACUCUGUGUGGAGCUACCUUUGAAGGUGACCCGGAAACUACAACUAAUCCAGAAUGCGGCAGCUAGACGGGUGACUGGGAGCGGGCGCCAAGACCAUACAACACCAUCCUGAAAGACCUACAUUGGCUCCCAGUACGUUUCCUGGCACAAUUCAAAGUGUUGGUGCUGAUCUUUAAAGCCCUGAAGGCAGCCCUGUUUAGGGAAGCUUUUAAUAUUUGAUGAAUUAUUGUAUUUUAAUAUUUUGCUGGAAGCCACCCAGAGUGGCUGGGGAAAUAAAUAAAUAAAUAAAUGAUUAUGAUGAUUAAAUCCCCGGCAUCUCCAGGUAUGUCUAAGACAGCUCCUGCCUGGAAUCUUGGAAAGCUGCUGCCAGUCAGGUUAGACAAUACUCAGCUAGAUGGACUGUUGGUCUGGCUCAGUAUAAGGCAGUUUCUCAGGUUCCUGUGUUCCUAGUCAUCAGAGCUGUAGUCCGUUAAGGGUGCUGAAAGUUGUUAGGAAGCUCCUAUUCCCUUCCCAGAGUUAAAAUUCCCAGAGUUUCCUUCGAGGACGGAUUGAUUGUUAAGCCACCCUGGAAAGUGCAGUUCUGUGACACGUGCACACCCAAGAUACGUUUAUCAGUUAGAGUUGACUGAACCAUGGCCAUAAUUUUGACAUCUAAACUGUUUUUCUUCAUUGGAGGGCUACCCGUGCCAUGACCAUUUCCUAUAUUUUCCCUCCUUCCACCAACAGGUGAAGACUUUCUUGUUCCAACCGGCAUUUGGGAAGUGGCUGCUUUUACUGAAAGGGCUGGUGCUAUGCUGUUAUUUAUUAUUGUAAUUAUUUGUAUGGUUUUAACAGAGGAUAGACGGAUAGUUUUAUUAGUUUUUAUUGUAUCAACAUUUAAUUUUUUUUUUAACGAUUGUUUCCCACCUGUUUUUAGUUGUUCUUACUCUUAUCUGUAAGAUGCCUUGAGUCCUUGUCUGGGGAAAAUGUGAGGUGUAAAUAAAUACAUAAUCAUAAUAAUGAUAAUAUGGU